rnacentral:precursor_RNA from 1 species
GGGCUUGAGGACCGUAUUCAUGGAAGAGGAUUGAACAGAGAUGAAGUAGACAGUAUGUUGGAUAAAUCUGGAGUAAAGAACCCAGCAAUUGGUAAAGAUGAGAAUAUAUCGCCUCAAGUAAAAGGAGAUGAAGACAUGGGAGAUGAAAUUGACAGUAUGUUGGCUACAUCUGGAGGUCUUUUCUCCUGAGAACACGGGACUCCAGCAUCUUCGGAUUCYGCUCUUGGAGGUGUGAGUCCCUGCCUCUCUGCACAGGGGAACUUAUGUCUCUCCACAUGUCCGCAAAUGUCUACCCAAGAUUAUACAUCUUCCAAAGGCUUUCAAAUACUUCUUUACAUAAACAAGGGGUUUGCCCCACAUCCUCUAUAUUGCAGAAAACAAGACUAGGCUCUACCUCUGUAGAUCAAGCACGACUGAAAUCCGUGCUCUCAAAAGAUGCUGGGGAGAAAGAGUGCCAUUCUYCACAAAUGCUGAUGUGUGCAGCUGAACAGAGCGUUGAGGAAACGUCAGUGAUUUUAUAACUACUUAUCAUGUUGGGAGAUUGUUGUGAUGAUUGCCUGGACUCUCAGAUGUUACACAGGCUGCAUCAUUGGACUGAAAAGUGAAAUGGCCCCAUGUGUUGCCCACYGAUGUGAGCCAUUUGCAAGCGC